rnacentral:pre_miRNA from 1 species
UAUGUACUCCCUCCGUCCGAAAAUACUUGUCAUCAAAAUGAAUAAAAGGGGAUGUAUCUAGAUGUAUUUUAGUUCUAGAUACAUCCCUUUUUAUCCAUUUUGAUGACAAGUAUUUUCGGACGGAGGGAGUACUAU